rnacentral:rRNA from 1 species
AUGAAUUGGUGCAAGUUUAUUGCCGACUUCCUCCACGAUGCAUUCUCAAGCAAGAUGUACCAAAAGGGUUGUCGACUGCAUUUAAUGCUCAUGUAUGUCGACUGUCUUGAUCUGUCCACUGUGGAUUUCACCGGGGUAGGAGGCCCACCGCCUACGCACAAGUUUGUUGUUUCUGCAUGGACUAUCAACGCUGUCAAGGUUGUGCUUGCCGCAGACAGGGCAACUGAUACCAAAUAUGGAAAACUGCAGUUGAUGGCCAAGCAUGCUAUAGACUACAGCGUGUUUGGGGGGCCUCAAAACUUUGGAAAGUGGAUGGACGUGCACUCAGCUCCGUCUUGCCCUACUAAGGCGAGGGCACCUGUUGAGCAUCUAAUUGGGCAGUUUGCAUCUGGAAUGACUGGCUUGCUCGGGAAGUUUGUUGAGGGGUGGACGUAUCUCAGUGGCUCUGACAGUGAUGCGGUUGCGAGGCAGUUCACUUCAUUUGUCCCAGAACGUACACAUCGGCCAACCGGUUGCCGUGGCCGGUAUGACUACAACAGUUCCCAAGAGCCCGGUGAACACAAGAUGAUCUAG